AUAAAAAGAUUCGACUUUGUCCCCUUUCCCUUCGAUUCGAUUGCAUAUCUAGAAACCCUAGACCCGCCGGGAUCUACCUCCGAGUUCCCCCAUUCUCUCUUCUCUCUCUAGUUUUGGUGAUGGAAGCUUAGCCUCUGCUCUAUUCAGAUCGACGGAAGCCGAAACUGCUGUUAAGCGCUACUUGCGUCAAUGGCUUCUAACGCCGGUAAGCCCUUCUGGAUGAAACACGCCGAAGACGCCAAAAUCAAAGACGACGGAGAGAAAGACGCCGCCGCAAAAGCAGCUUUCGACGCCACUUUCAAAGGCUCCGACCAACAAACGCCGUUGAUUGAACCUGCUCCAUCUUCCACGGCACCGGAAUCUUCACCAGAAUCCGAUAGCGAUUCCGACGACGAAUCUGAUUACCUAUCGAGAAAACCAAUCGGUCCUGUGGAUCCGAGUAAGUCCACGGCUUCCGGAGCUGGCAUCGGUGGAGGAACGGCCUGUGCUCCGUCAACGUUUAUAGUAGUAACGAAGGACUCUGAUGGAAGAAAAGUUCCUAAUGGUGGGGCUUUGAUUAGGGUUAAAGUGUCUCCUGGUGUUGGUGUUGGUGGUACUGAUCAAGAAGGUGUGGUGAAAGAUGUUGGAGAUGGGAGUUAUUCUGUUACCUACGUUGUGCCUAAGAGAGGUAACUAUAUGGUGAGCGUUGAGUGCAAUGGGGUUGCUAUCAUGGGAAGUCCUUUCCCUGUCUUCUUUAGCCAAGGGUCUUCUUCUACCGGACUGAUUGGUUCUGCUCCAGCUUCAUACUCAAACCUUAUCAAUCAGACAAUGCCAAACAUGCCGAACUACACUGGUUCUGUUUCGGGUGCUUUCCCAGGGAUGUUAGGGAUGGUUCCUGGCAUUUCCCUUGGUCCUUCAGGUGGUGCUAUACUGCCUGGGGUUGGAGCUUCUCUUGGGGAAGUGUGCCGGGAAUAUCUUAACGGUAGAUGUGCAAACACUAUGUGCAAGUUGAAUCACCCUCCACAGAAUUUGCUCAUGACUGCUAUAGCUGCAACAACAAGCAUGGGUAAUCUAAGUCAGGUACCUAUGGCUCCUUCGGCUGCAGCAAUGGCUGCUGCUCAGGCUAUUGUCGCUGCACAAACCCUUCAAGCCCACGCUUCUCAGAUGCAAGCACAGUCUCGAUCAAACAAAGGCUCUUUAGUUUCUGAUUUAGGUUCCCCGGAAAAGGAAGUAACGGGGGAAGCAUUGAAGAAAUUUCUCCAAGUUAGCAAUCUGAGUCCUCUGCUUACAACUGAACAGCUUAAGCAGCUGUUUAGCUUCUGUGGCACAGUGGUUAACUGUACUAUAACUGAUUCGAAGGAUCUUGCUUAUAUAGAAUACGGAAAGACCGAAGAAGCAACCGCUGCUUUGGCAUUAAAUAAUAUGGAAGUCUGUGGUAGGCCUUUGAAUGUUGAGAUUGCGAAAUCGCUUCCUCGAAAACCAUCUUCCGAUAACUCUUCUUCGUCCUCAUUACCAAUGAUGAUGCAACAGGCCGUCGCGAUGCAGCAGAUGCAGUUCCAACAGGCUAUACUGAUGCAACAAGCCAUGGCUACUCAGCAGGCUGCGAAUAGGGCUGCCACCAUGAAGUCUGCCACCGAGCUUGCAGCAGCUAGAGCUGCAGAGAUAAGCAGGAAACUGAAUCCUGAUGGAGUUGUAAAUGACGAGAAAGAAGACGACAAGAAACCUAGGUCACCAUCUAACUCUCCAGCCAGAUCUAGAUCGAAGUCAAAAUCACCAAUUAGUUACAGGCGAAGGCGGAGAUCUCCGACUUAUUCACCACCCUUUCGUCGCCCACGAAGUCAUAGGUCAAGAUCACCGUUUAGAUAUCAUCGGCGAUCAACCUAUGAGGAGAGAAGGCGGUCAUAUAGAGAUUCGAGGGAUAUUUCUGAAAGUAGGAGAUACGGUAGAUCAGAUGAGCACCAUUCAUCUAGGUCAAGGAGAAGUAGGAGUGUAAGCCCCAAGAAGAGAAAAUCCAAGCAGGAUGAUUCAGAGCUGUCAAGACAUCGACGGGAUAGCUCAUCUCGCGGGGAUAAGAAAUCAUCUCGCGCUCGUUCACGAUCGCCUAGGCGAGAUAAGGAAACUAACUCAACACCAAGAGAUGAUGAAGAAACAAAACACAAACGUAGAGCUCGUUCAAGAUCUAGAUCAGUGGAAGAUUCUGCAGAUAAGAAGGAUGAAGCUAGAGCUGAGGAACUGAAACAUCACAAAAACCGGUCAAGAUCUCGUGAAGAUCGGAAAAGAACCAGAGCCUCAUCCAGAAGUUCUGAUGAUACUGAACGGAAACACAGGGGGAGGUCCAGGUCUAGAUCAUUGGAAAUCAACAAUGGCUCUCAUGAGGAAGUUGAUGGUGCUGAAGAGAAUGACGGCAAUAUGAAGGAGGAGAGGAGGGGAAGGUCUAGGUCUAGAUCAUGGGAAACUAACCACAGAUUUUCUAGAAGAAAUGAGGUGGAUGAAGAUAAAAAGACAGAAUCACGUAGAAGGAGGUCCAGGUCAAAAUCAGCGGAGGGUAAGCGUAGUCAUCAUACCAAGGAGACUCAGAGCAGGGACAGAAAGUCUAAGCGACGCAGUGGAAGGCGGUCGAGGUCGGUGUCUUCUGAGGGUAGGCAUAGGAGAGAGAGAAGGUCAUCCCCUGAUGAAAAGAAAUCAUCAAGACAUAAGGGACACUCAAGGUCGAGAUCAAGAUCGAGAGAGAAGAGGAAUUCAAGAGAUAAAAGAUCAAAACGUCAUGAAAGAUUGCGGUCAGCUUCUCCUGGUGACGACAAAGGAAGAGGUGAUAGAUCCUCUCCUGUUAGUUCUGAAUGAUCAGCUGUUUAAAAAGCAGACUGUCCUUGGGCCUUUUCUCCAAUUGAAACGUUCUACUUUUCAAAUUUAUCAAUGGAAAACAGCCUCAAGUAUGAGCAACUUCAAGUAUGAGCAUAGUUUUCGAUUCUCUUGAAAAUCUUCAAUUGGUUUCUUGAUCCUUAGGAUUGUAGACUCAGUGGAUUGACAGGUAUUCGUAUCUGACUAAUGUCAAUGUACCAUUAGGCUGUUGUACGGAAACCUGAUCCUCACAUAAUCUCUGCUUUGUUUUUCUUUUCUUUUUUUUGGUGCGGGGGAUUAAAUGCAAGUUCACCAACACACACAUCUUUGAGAUUAGUGUCGUCAUUGUAAUAAUAGUUGAGUGGAAAUGGAAUAUUAUACAACCAAUCAAAGAUCA